GGAGGACACAGAGACACACCUUGAGGAACUCUGGAAUAUAUCUAUUCCAUGUCCUGAGAUGAUGAAAUGUAAGAGGAAUAAGUAACAGCUGUUUUGAAAAUGGUUCAAGAAAUAAGAAGAAAGUGCCCAGGAGUGCAGUUCCUGGUGGCUCUAAAUCAGCUCCUUCCUUCCUGAAACAGAUGCUGGUGGAAUUCACCUUGAUCCAGUAUGUGCAUUGCAUUGGGAGAGCAGUGUCCUGAGGCAGGGGUGAAAAGAGGCUUUGCUGGUACUCACACAGGGUGGGAUCUGUGAUCUGUUGCUGCAGCUCAUUCCUGCAGAAAUGCCACAGAAAUCAGGUUGCUGCCUUCAGAGCAGCCCAUAGAGAUGGGGCUGGUCUACUGAAUGUCAGCUGCUGGCUGUGGGUGAGAGCCCAAAGCAAGUCCUGCAUACUCAAAGUCCCAAUCCUCAUAGAAACAUCCUACAGAUCUCUCCUUGCCCAGCCCCAGCCUUCCCUGCAGGGGGAGCAGAAGUGGGAUGUGCAAGGUGUGCCCAAGCCAAAGCUCGACAGACACAAUUAGGACCUACCAACCUGUUUACUGAAAGAGGCUGCUUGUGCUUCCUUAUGGGAACACAGGCUCUGAGUUUCACCUAAUGAAAUGGGCAUGGAGCCUUUGCCAAACAAACCCCUCCUGAGCUAUGCCAGGUGGGAUGCCCUGAAAGUCCUGCUCUGCAGACUUCUGCAAACUGGAGCUGAAUCCACAGCCACCCAGGAGCCUGUGCCCCACUCAGGAUGGCUGUGGUGUGUGCCCACCUGUUUGCUCCAGGUGGAAGAGGAUGACAAAUUAACACUUUGAAGUACUCAGGACGAAUGUGUACCAGGAGUAGAAGAAAACUGCACUCAGAUAAAAUCAAGUAAUAGCAGUACAGAGAGAGCAGAAAACAUUUCUGUCAUGUUGUGACCUGUCGGGAGAAAUGCAUGAUGAGUCCUGCCCAGCACUGGCUGAUGUGAGAGGAGCAGUGUGAGUCAUGGAGGGCACAGUGCCUGAGAUGCCCCAGGCAGAUGAACUGCAGCAACUUCUGAAGGGAGCACUGCUCUCCCCUCCAGGACACUGCUGGAAACCAUCAUCUCCAGCAUGGGUUUGGCUCUGGAAACCCUGUUCCAUAAGGAGGUCUUCAGCUUUUCCGUAGGUCUAGUGUCCUGAAUCAAGCUGAAAAGAAGAAACUUCCAUUAAAAAACAAAACAAAAACAAAAACCAAACCAAACAAAACCAAACAAAACAAAACAACAAAAAACCCCAACGAAUUUUUGUGUACUUUCCUCACUUUGAAGCAUUAUGUUUUUAUUUACAUUACUUUUUUAUUUUAAUGAUUUGCAAAGUGUUUCAUAUUUCAAAAUUUGCUUUGAACACCCCAUGCAAAACAAUUCCUGUAGGAAAUGUCAAGCUGAAAUGUUUUUACAUAAACCGAAGUUACAAAAUAGCUUCCUGACAAUAAAUCUUUUAAAA